GUCUCUUUGUAAAAUAUAAAUAAAGAGUCGGGCCUGCUCGGUGAAUAAGUUUUUAACAGCUGCGGUAUUUUAACUGUACUAAGGUAGCAUAAUAAUUUGCCUUAUAAUUUGAGGCUAGAAUGAAUGGUUUGACGAAGGUUAAUCUGUCUCUAUCUUAUUUUUUAGAAUUUAAUUUUUAAAGUGAAAAAGCUUAAAUUUUUUAAAGGGACGAGAAGACCCUAAUGAGCUUAUAAUUUUAUUAUUAUUAUUUAAAAUAUUUGAAUAAUAAUAUAUAAAUUUUAAUUGGGGUGAUUAAGGAAUAAUUUUAAUAUAGUAACUUCCUUAAGUUAAAUGUUUAUAGAUAAAGUAACCAAUGAAAUAUUGCUUAUAAUAUAGUUACCAUAGGGAUAACAGCGUAAUUUGUUUAGAGAGUUCUUAUUGAAAAACGAGAUUGCGACCUCGAUGUUGGAUUAAAGUAACCUUAAGGUGCAGAAGCUUUAAUAAGGUAAAUCUGUUCGAUUUUUAAUACUUUACA
rnacentral:rRNA from 1 species